CUGACAGCUGCAGGCACUCUGUCUCUCUCUCUCUCUGGGCAGAAUAACUCCACUCCCAAACUCUCAGGAAGCAAGUUCUGACAUCUGGAAUGUGACCCCGAGGUGGCUCCCAGACCACAGCAUCACCCGUGGGUCAUUAGAGCAAAGAGAAAUCAGCUGAUGCUUUGAUUGCAGUGGGGACUGCUAGGACUCAGAGAAGAAUGAUGGGUGCAGAAGAGUAAUUCUCAAAACAAAAGUAAGUUAUCGUGGCACGCCUCUGGCCUUCAGAUUGCCUAGCAUUAAGGUAGCCUACCACACUUUUUUCAAACCUCUGGGAUGUGCGUUCAUACUAAAUCUGGAUCUACCAUCU